GAGAGAAACUUGAAGAGCUUGAAGAAUGUUACCAAGAAUGAAAAAGUUUGAAGAUAGGGGAGUUGGAAGGAAUACCUGGUAGAGGACAUUCUUGAAGGUGUGGAAAUAGAGUCUAGAACACAACUGAAUAAAGAGAGCUCCCCAUUUUGUGAGAUUGGAGGUGAAGAGGGAAAUUUGUGGAAAGAGGAACUUGGCAAGGAUGACCAAGGGGAACCCAGCCCACGGCCACGGACCUGUUAGGAACCGGACUGCAGAGCAGUAGGUGAGUGGCAGAUGGGAACAUCUAGUUGCAGGAAAUCAAGCUCACGGAUCCCACUGAUUCUACAUUAUGAUUUUUGUUUUAGGCUCUUGGUACAAUAAUUUAAAGGGGACAAUUAACAAACUUGAUUGUUUCUGGGAGAGUAUGACCAAGUCGUGUCAUGAAAGCGUUUGAUUUACUCAACAUAGGCUGAGAGGUGCCACAGUUAAAUUCUUUCUGCUUUUGUCUCGACACCAAGUAGCAAUUGAGCUCAGAGCCACUGGUCGCAUGUUUUUCAAGACUGGGGGAAGGAAACAGAAAACUGAGGCAUCUGAAACAGCAAAGUCUGCCGCUUUGCCUCUGGGACAACAAUAAGACACAGAGAGUAUGACCUUCAAUUUCUAAAAUCAGUUACACGGGCACCAACUGGCAGUGAAGUGAGUUGAAAUUCUUCCUGCAAAUCACUAAAGACCAUGUACGACCAGGAAAUCUGCCUCUUAAAGGAUAGCAGAGCAGUGAUGCUGACACCUUUGGGAGAAGAUGGGGAACCUGUCAGCAGUUUCAGCGUCUUCUGGCCCUUUGAUUAAACUCUUCCCACCCCCACUCCCAAACUAACUAAAGCUUUUUGCUAUUCAAGUAGUGGUAGACAACCAGUGAACUGUUUCUGCUUGGAGAGCCUACUUUACUUUCCAUAACCUUCCUUUCUAUCCAAUGAAAAGCAACUGUGGCCUUUUACUAAGUAAAUGAGCAAAUAUUUUCCCAGUGUUCACCAGGUUAGAUCCCCAUUUAAUUAAACUGGCUCAUUAUGUCCCUAUCUGAUUAGCAGAGUAGAAUCAAUUAUUCAAUGCACAAACAU
ensembl:lncRNA novel transcript